AUGUGGAGCCGUUUGCGUCUGCAGUGUUUUCCGAUGUACCGUACUAAUGACAGUUAAUUUCGCCCUUACCUAACGGUUUCCUCCAAAGCUCCCGGUGUAAUUGUGUGGCUAGGCCAGCAGCGUUCAGACACAAAAGGUGCGGUUCUAGUUCAAGAACAUAGUGAUACUAGCGACAUGAACACGCAAUUGGUGGUCUCGGCUGUGCUGCUGACGCUGGCACUGUGUUUCGUGAUGCUGAAGGCAUACCCAGUAGUUGAUCCUCAUUAUGGUCAUUAUUGGAGUUGGCGUGAUGACCAUGGAUUGGAUGAAGAUUGUGGAUGGGCACAUGACCAUGGAUGGGGACAUGAGUAUUGGUAUAAGCCACACCAUUCGUGGUGGUGGUGGUAACUAUGACUACAAAUAUGGACAUCAUAACCACUAUUGGUACCACCAACUUCUUCGGCACCACCAGCACUACAACUACUGAGAAGAAGUUUACUGGCUCCUUGGUUAAUUCUGCAGAAUAGACAUUCACUCUUAAGACGUUAAAAAGUGCUACUGCUCUAUGUUGGACUUUAACAUGAAAGUAGCAAUGAACUGAGAAUUAGGAUGAAUAUUUGAGUGUUUACUAUUUUAACAAAAAGUUUAGUAUUAACAAUGUUUUAAUUCAAUUAACUGGGAGUGCUUAAAUUUUUACGUCGUUUACAUGUUGUUUUAGACAUGUAGACACAUUAUUAUGUUUUCAAUGUAUGCCAGCGUCGACACAAUGUCUGUGAUGUACUGAAAAAAAAAUCCUAGCAUAAUAGUUAAAAUAAUACGUUUAUCUGGAACCAUUGUUCAUUUAGUUUCUGUUUCAGAUCAUGGAUCUAUUUCUGAAUCAGUUGAUAAAUUCUUGACCUGCAGUUUUCAUAGGUGUCCAUAAAUUUGUUGAUGGAAAACAUAUUUCCAUGUUUAUUCAAAAUCUAUUGGCUUAAGGCAAUUAGUUUUCUUCUGUUCAUCCAUUCAAGAAUUAUAGCAAAACAUUAUAUCUGUGUUAAACUAUGUAAAAAAUUGCCUGUUCAAUAAAUUGCGUUGGUAAAUUUGAA